AUUGAACGCUGGCGGAAUGCUUUACACAUGCAAGUCGAACCGCAGCACGGGGGCAGUCCUGGUGGCGAGUGGCGAACGGGUGAGUAAUACAUCGGAACGUGCCCGGUCGUGGGGGAUAACGUAGCGACAGUUACGCUAAUACCGCAUACGAUCUGAGGAUGAAAGCGGGGGACCUUCGGGCCUCGCGCGAUCGGAGCGUCCGAUGUCAGAUUAGGUAGUUGGUGGGGUAAAGGCCUACCAAGCCGACGAUCUGUAGCUGGUCUGAGAGGACGACCAGCCACACUGGGACUGAGACACGGCCCAGACUCCUACGGGAGGCAGCAGUGGGGAAUUUUGGACAAUGGGCGCAAGCCUGAUCCAGCCAUUCCGCGUGCAGGACGAAGGCCUUCGGGUUGUAAACUGCUUUUGUACGGAACGAAAAGGAUCUGGCUAAUACCUGGGGCUCAUGACGGUCCCGUAAGAAUAAGCACCGGCUAACUACGUG
rnacentral:rRNA from 1 species